CUUCAGUUGUGCUGAUCAGAACCCAAUUGGAGCUUACAAUAAUUCGUGUGAUCUUCUUGAUAGUGAGUUCCCCAUCUCGGUGCACCUUUGCUUUUCUCAGCGCCGGAUCAUUUCUCUGACACUCUGAACAUGCCAGGUACUGAAUAGGGUUCGAAAGACCUCUUCGUUCAUCUGUAGGUUGAUCCCUACUCAAUGAAUACCCACACACACAUGCUCUCUAGCUUGGAAUAGGCUUCCCGCAAAGCUGCGGAGAGAG
rnacentral:lncRNA from 1 species